CCCUUAGAUGUUCUGGGCCGCACGCGCGCUACACUGAUGCAUUCAACGAGCCUAUCCUUGACCGACAGGUCCGGGUAAUCUUUGAAUCUGCAUCGUGACGGGGAUAGAUUAUUGCAAUUAUUAAUCUUCAACGAGGAAUACCUUGUAAGCGCGGGUCAUCAUCCCGCGCUGAAUACGUCCCUGCCCUUUGUACACACCGCCCGUCGCUCCUACCGAUUGAGUGGUCCGGUGAGGCUUUGGGAUCUGAGCGGAAAGAGCGUUUCGCUGUUUCUGCUCGGAAAACUCAGUCGAACCUUAUCAUUUAGAGGAAGGAGAAGUCGUAACA
rnacentral:rRNA from 1 species